GGGGGGGGGGGGGGGGGGGGGGGGGGGGGGGGGGGGGGGGGGGGGGGGGGUGGGGGUGGGGGGGGCGGGAGUGGGGAGCGGGUGAGUAACGCGUGAGUAACCUGCGGUGGGCUUUGGGAUGACUUCAGGGAACUGGGGCGAAGACCGGGUAGGCGCUCCUGCUGCAUUGUGGGGGUUGGACAGUUUCGGCGGUUGGGGAUGGACUCGCGGCUGAUCAGCUUGUUGGUGGGGUAGGAGCUUACCAAGGCGUUGACGGGUAGCCGGCCUGAGAGGGUGACCGGCCACAUUGGGACUGAGAUACGGCCCAGACUCCUACGGGAGGCAGCAGUGGGGAAUAUUGCACAAUGGGCGGAAGCCUGAUGCAGCAACGCCGCGUGCGGGAUGACGGCCUUCGGGUUGUAAACCGCUUUCGCCUGUGACGAAGCGUGAGUGACGGUAAUGGGUAAAGAAGCACCGGCUAACUACGUG
rnacentral:rRNA from 1 species